rnacentral:rRNA from 1 species
GACGAACGCUGGCGGCGUGCUUAACACAUGCAAGUCGAACGGAAAGGCCCUGCUUUUGUGGGGUGCUCGAGUGGCGAAAGGGUGAGUAACACGUGAGUAACCUGCCCUUGACUUUGGGAUAACUUCAGGAAACUGGGGCUAAUAACGGAUAGGAGCUCCUGCUGCAUGGUGGGGGGUGGAAAGUUUCGGCGGUUGGGGAUGGACUCGCGGCUUAUCAGCUUGUUGGUGGGGUAGUGGCUUACCAAGGCUUUGACGGGUAGCCGGCCUGAGAGGGUGACCGGCCACAUUGGGACUGAGAUACGGCCCAGACUCCUACGGGAGGCAGCAGUGGGGAAUAUUGCACAAUGGGCGGAAGCCUGAUGCAGCAACGCCGCGUGCGGGAUGACGGCCUUCGGGUUGUAAACCGCUUUCGCCUGUGACGAAGCGUGAGUGACGGUAAUGGGUAAAGAAGCACCGGCUAACUACGUG